rnacentral:tRNA from 1 species
UGCCUGGUCGUCCAACGGCAGGACGCUGGACUUUGGAUCCAGAAAUGGUGGUUCGAAUCCACCCCGGGCAGCCA